ACCUCGGGAAACUGAGGAUAAACCGCGAUAGGCCAAAGUUUCUGGAAUGGACACUGGCUGAAAUCUAUACGGCCCCUGGAUUGGACUGCGGCCGAUCAGGCUGUUGGUGAGGUAAUGGCCCACCAAACCUGUAACCGGUAUGGGCUCUGAGAGGAGGAGCCCGGAGAUGGGCACUGAGACAAGGGCCCAGGCCCUAUGGGGCGCAGCAGGCGCGAAACCUCUGCAAUAGGCGAAAGCUUGACAGGGUUACUCUGAGUGAUGUCCGUUAAGGGCAUCUUUUGGCACUUCUAAAAAUGGUGCAGAAUAAGGGGUGGGCAAGUCUGGUGUCAGCCGCCGCGGUAAUACCAGCACCCCGAGUGGUCGGGACGUUUAUUGGGCCUAAAGCAUCCGUAGCCGGUUCUACAAGUCUUCCGUUAAAUCCACCUGCUUAACAGAUGGGCUGCGGAAGAUACUAUAGAGCUAGGAGGCGGGAGAGGCAAGCGGUACUCGAUGGGUAGGGGUAAAAUCCGUUGAUCCAUUGAAGACCACCAGCGGCGAAGGCGGCUUGCCAGAACGCGCUCGACGGUGAGGGAUGAAAGCUGAGGGAGCAAACCGGAUUAGAUACCCGGGUAGUCCCAGCUGUAAACGAUGCAGACUCGGUGAUGAGUUGGCUUAUUGCUAACUCAGUGCCGCAGGGAAGCCGUUAAGAUUGCCGCCUGGGGAGUACGGUCGCAAGACUGAAACUUAAAGGAAUUGGCGGGGGAGCAC
rnacentral:rRNA from 1 species